UUUGUCAGUUUGGUGUUACAUCUGCGAUGCAUAUUUGGAUGCUGAAGUGAUUUCCCAACUGCGACCUGUUUAUGAGACUGCUUCCAUACUGAAAUCUGGUAAGGCGGCAUGAUUUCAAUCGGGCUGGGUGGAAGCUCAGACGUCGUGUGAGCACUUGACCUCGCUAUUGUCUGAUCUCGCCCACAUACCAAUCCCUGAUACACCCUGCAACAGUUGGGAUGUAUAAGGUGUGACCACCCGAGGGAAAACUGGUUAUGUUUGAGCUGUAAGGAUGUGCUUUGCAGCCGUUUGGUGAACAAGCAUAUGCUUCAGCAUUUCCACCAAACAAACCAUUCUGUAGCGCUCAGUUACAGUGAUUGUCAGUUUGUUGUUUCAUCUGCGAUCCAUAUUUGGAUGCUCAAGUGAUUUCCCAACUGCGACCUUUUUGUGGGACUGCUUACAUACUGAAAUUUGGUGAGGUGUCACCGGUUCGGACGGCUGAACUUACCAAGGUGAAAGAUGAUCAAGCUGAGGCUAAAUCGUUAGACAGUUAAAUAUUAGUUUUGGUUUUGUAGUUUUACUUUAAUGUAUCUUUGGUGUUGGAAUGGACAUGGUUUGACUUUCAGAUUUCUGAUUGAUUACCUAAAGCUAAUGCAAAAUGAGAAGCAUUUCAGUGUACUGUAAAAUUUAUGAUUGAUAUAUCAUGUCAAGACUCA